AGGUGUAUUCAGCUUUGCUCAGAGGACCCAGAGGAGCCUGGCCUGGGAAAAGUGAGUGGCAGGAACCACAGGAAAGCUGGAUAUUUAAUUUCAUGUGGAAAGCAAUUUUUUCAUCAGCCUCCACAAAUUGGUGAAUGGAGAGGACAUGGUGCAUCUGACUGCCUGCCUGAACUCCAAGCAAGCCCUCUCCCCACUAAUGAAUGCAGAUGACUGCACAGAAGGCUCAAGGCAUAUAGCAAAUAAUAUGCACUAUAUGGAUUUUGGAGAAGACAUCCUUUCAUGAAUAUAUCAAACCCUAAACACGUCAUUGAGAGACAAAUUCACAUCCAGUAGAAUGGAAAAGAAACCACCAGAAAAAGAAAGAUAAAAACUCAUUUCAGCAGAAGGAAUCAAACAAGCAGACCUAAACUACACUUCCUAAAAUAAUUUAAAUUCCUAUUUAUGAUGCUGCUUUAGGUCUC